rnacentral:rRNA from 1 species
UACGUAGGGGCAAGCGUUGUCCGGAUUUAUUGGGCGUAAAGAGCGUGUAGGCGGUUUGGUAGGUCCGCUGUGAAACUCGAGGCUCAACCUCGAGACGCCGGUGGAAACCAUCAGGCUAGAGUCCGGAAGAGGAGAGUGGAAUUCCUGGUGUAGCGGUGAAAUGCGCAGAUAUCAGGAAGAACACCCGUGGCUAAGGCGGCUCUCUAGUACGGUACUGACGCUGAGACGCGAAGCGUGGGAGCGAACAGG